UGGCGGAUUCCAGAACUUUGUGCGUGCGGCGUAUGUGUGCGGGUUGCGUGAUGAGUUUGCUGCGUUUUCUGUGCCCUUUGCCUCGCUGUGACAUCUUUGGUAUAUUACAACUUAUUGCUCGGUCUUAAUGGGCUACACGUUGCCUCGAAGAUCACCAUGAUCGCCUCCGACUCAGCCACAUCGAAGAAUCAAAAUGAGCCUGGAGACGCCACAGCCGGAAUGCGAAAGGUUGGAGAAGUGCUCAUUCAGAUGAUCCUGGCACAGCUUGCCAUGGUGGACCAGGCAAGUUUGCAAGGGCCUUGAUUCACCAUGUGUUCACAGAGAACCUCAUGGGCCACUCACUUCUCGGAAACAACACCACCAAUAGGCAAAAAGAGGCUCUUGACCUUAUCAGGGUCAACGCUGUUAUAGGCAAGUACCGUACAUCCUUUUACCCAUUGCAUUUUUGCCUUCACAUUUUGUACUUGGAAUUACCAGCUUGCUAUUAGCACAACAAAUGACUUUCAAGUAGCCUGUGUCUGCAACUACGUGCUACAAUAGCCUACUAUUUGGAAUGAAUGUUCAUUUGAUCUCAAGUCUCUAACGCCUCCAUACUAAAGUGCUAAAUUUUAAAAGCAGCCUUAACUGCCAGAAGUGAUUGGUGGCUCCAACUGACAAAGUUAGGUGUAUUUGCGCAUUAGUUGCACUACUUGACUGUCAUUGCAAUGAACAGUUGGAAUGAAGCAACUACCAAUCUGUGAAGCUUGCUACCAAUCUGGUGCUAUAGCGGGUGUGCUUAAGUAGCCUGAAAGUGUUGUUAUAAUAUAGGAAUUGUGGAGAAGCUAUGCUCAAGUGCAGUUACUGCUCAACUCGAGGGACAGCACUUCCACCAAAUUUCAGCAAUCAAUAUGGCCCUCCAGAUUCUGUAAUGCAAAACAUAGUGGUUUCACCUAUUUCAACAGACCACACUGAAUUAAAGUUGCUCCUGUCUUGAAGGAGGUCCAUGUGGUGGUAGACAGUAGCCUUUAAGCAGAGGGAGCUUAAGUUACGGGGCAUAAUUGUUUGGUUGUUUCGAUCAAAGCAACAAUAGGAACAGUUGCCAAAUUCGUUGUCAACAUUGCUAUGUUUAUCAAUGUCCAUUCAUUCUAGGCACUCAACCAAUUAAGAUCCAAUUUAUCACAUUGUAUUCUAGGAUGUGGAAAAAACAAAGGUAUUUAUUUGACUUUUCCUCACGUUCCCAUAAAAUGAUCAGUACUCAAUAGGCCCUUGGCAGCUACUAUAUAAAGGUUCUUACAGAACAUGAGGCAUGUCCACAGCUCCCACUCUGAAAUUGUUGGAAAUGUCUCCUGCUUUCUUACUUCAAGGACGCACUUGCCUGUUUUCAGCGUUAUUAUAAACCAGUGCUCAAGUACUAUGGGUUUAGAUUUAUCAAAGAUUGAAUGAGCUUUGUAGGUGUUCAUGUUUAACCCUUUGAGGAUCACAUAUUUUCCGGCAAACAUCCCCCAAUUUAAGCGUUAUAUUUUUAUUCUGGAUUGUUCUUCAGUGACCUUUCCAGAAAAAAAAUGGGUAAAUAAUUUUUUAGGUCACAAAGUGACAAAGGUUUCUUAGUGUCCGCUGUUUUACACCAUGUUUAUUGUAGCAUGCAGGGCAAACUAGCAUAAUCACAUUUUUUAAAUGUAAUGACACUCACAAAACAUUAAACUAGGUGAAUACUCCCAAACUACUGCAGUGAUGGGCACCAUAGAAUAAAGAGAAAGAUCAGUUUUGGAAGAAGCCAAGGAGCAACAGCACAAUCAGGAUUUUUGUAGAAGUCGCAGAAGGUUACAGAAUCUGUAAUGUGAUGCUUGGGGACACUUCAUUCUUAAAAGGUAUGCUUAUUUAUAUGUUCUUUCGCCGCCUCAUAUUUAUGGUCGUGACCACACGAUUUGUUUCCACCACUCUACAUGCAUGGCAGUGACCCUCAAAAGAUUAGCAGAGCCAGUCCACUUGCAUAUUUCUCUUGUAAGACUGAGCAUUUCUUCGUAUUUCUUCUUCGCAUUUAUUUGUGUUAAUGUAACCAGGUCGGCGUGCAACUGCAGUAAAUCCUCGUUAUAAGCAGUAUUUUGUUUUCAGUAGAGAGGCAUAAGAAUGGUCAUCACGAUGCGAGAAGUGCACUCCAGUAGCAUAUGAGCUUGUAAAACAAAUUCAGAUAUACCACACUCAAUUCUGGCCGCAUAACCGUAUUUGGAGCAACUCCUGCAAGGAAAAGUUCAAUAAAGUGCUGCACAUUUUGAUUAUGAUUGUUGAGAGAACUAAUUUUAGUUGCCAGUAGUCUACCUUUAAGUUUUUUCACUAACAGUAUGAAGUUUUUUUUCCACCAUUUUGUUCCUAAGCAAGCAACGUUCACAUUUUCACAUCAAGGAUAUUCAUGAAGUUAUUCUGCCACAGUGGGCUUUUCCUGUUUGCCUUCUGCAUAUUGUACUAUGUGGAGUCCUCCGGUGCCACUCCACUUUGAAAGCUGGUCAUUCUCUGGAAUUGAACUCGUGAAAACUUGGAAUAAACAAAACAAAUGAAACAGUUUCAUUAUAACAGGGUGUACUGUAUGUCGCACUUUUGCAUGUGGAACAUUGAUCUUUAACGUCAUGCUGUUUUUCCUUUUUUUACAGGCUUUCCCUGUCGCAAGUUUCCUGGGACCAACAUGACCUACAUUAAGAACACUCUGGCCUCACUUCUCGCAAGGGACCUGAAGUGUCCAGAAGAGCUCAAGUCUGUGGACAGUUCAAGUGUUGUGCACUUGCAGCCCUCAACAUUUUUUUUUGUUAUUAUGAUGUUUCUAGUCACCUGAAAAGCCCAGGUUGGAUGGUUCAGGCACAAGUACUGUGUUGUGAUUAAUAAUGAAUUGCACAAGUGUUGCGCUUUGUACUUUAGUACAUUUUUACGUAAAUCUUUAAUAUAUUUCUACAAAAGCUAGUGUUUCUUGACUAUUUUAUUUCAUAGGUAUCUCGGGUCAUUUCAUGCCAAGACUGUUCCAUGACGGCACACCAUUUCAAGUUUGUUUGAUGAAGUAAAAGUAGGCCCAGUGAGAAAUUUUACAGAAAAUUAGGUUUCAUACGUACACCUGGAAAGUGGAAUCUGUGCUAUUGUCAGAGUGGUUCUGUUUAAGGAAAACUACAUAUUAACAUUUGUUUGUAGUAAUGGUUUAUUUUGCUAUUUCAAAACAGUAAGAAUUAAGUGUUAAAGUUUGCUUAAAUUCAGAGUGCAACAACAGUUCUCGGGCAAGGCAGCGAUGUGCUUUCUUUCAUGUAUGCAUGAAAUCUAAUUUCUUGCAAAUUCUUUCAUUCUAACUUGUUUUGCGGCACUCAAAAAUUUUAAAAAAUUUCCUCAUGCCAGUUCCAUUUAAGUCUUCCAGCAGGUAACUAAUGGCCACUGUGUAUCAGAUAAAAAUCUUAAGUAGUCAGUGAAUAACUCGCUUGGUAUGUAAUGACCUGCCCAGGAACCUAGUAAUCAUGGCAGAAAACGCAACUGGAUCGUGCAACAGGCAAUGCAGCACAAUAAACUGCUCCCAUGGCACAAGUUAUUGUAAUUACCAUGUCGUUUCAGAGGUAGAUAACGUUUCGUAAAAUGGGCACACCAUUUAACCAAUAAAUAAGAGUCUCAGUGGGCUCAUGCAGAUUGUGCCAUGAUUAUUAAGUUACUGGCUACCAAAUAGAGAAAUCAAGUACAUUUUAAACGGUAUUUACUGUAAUGCUAGUAUAAUAUUUAUUUUCUAUUUAUUUAAAUUUUGAGAAAUGUUUUACUUUAGGGCCACGCAAACUUUACAUCUCUCAGUAUUCAAUUUCGUUAUUGUAUCAAGCUGCUGGCAGUUUGUAGAUUGCGUUAGGAAUUUUUUGAUCUCAAUGCACACAUGGCUGUACAGUUAACAAAUGUUUGGCUUCAAUAAACAAUUCAGCUAGAAAAAAUGCUUUUUGUCCACAUCAAUUUUGAGCUGUUGAUUUUGUGAAGGAGUAUUGAUUUUGUGUGUUAAGCCAAUUCGAAAACUGGCUUAAUGGUUCUGCUAGCAGCUCUAUAACAUGUUUUAUAACAGGCUA